UAGGGAAUAUUGCACAAUGGGGGAAACCCUGAUGCAGCGACGCCGCGUGAGUGAUGAAGGCCUUCGGGUCGUAAGGCUCUGUCGUAUGGGACUAACAAAAUGAAGGUACCAUGCAAGAAAGGAUCGGCUAACUUCGUGCCAGCAGCCGCGGUAAGACGAGGGAUCCUAGCGUUGUUCGGAAUUAUUGGGCGUAAAGCGGGUGUAGGCGGACUUAUAAGUCAGGUGUGAAAUCCCAGGGCUCAACCCUGGAAGUGCACUUGAUACUGCAAGUCUUGAGUGUGGUAGAGGCUAUUAGAAUUCCUGGUGUAGUGGUGAAAUACGUAGAUAUCAGGAGGAAUACCGGAGGCGAAGGCGGAUAGCUGGGCCAACACUGACGCUGAGACCCGAAAGCGUGGGGAUCAAACAGGAUUAGAUACCCUGGUAGUCCCUGAGCGGGCUGGCAAGGCGCAU
rnacentral:rRNA from 1 species